GGGUUCCGCCGGAGCGCCGCGGGCGGAGCGUUUUCGCGCUGGCGCACUCUCCGUCUCUUGCGGGGAGCGCGGGCAGCGGGGCCCGCACCGCAGCAGGCAGCCUUCCAGACUCCCCCAGGCAGCCAGACUGUGCUCUUCCCACCCACGCCAGUCCCUUCCCUGGGAGGGGAUGAGGAAUCAGCACUUCCUGUUUGGGUCACUGACAAUAUUCAUCCUUGGGAAAUUUUGCAAAAACACUGACCUUAGCCACUCAAACACUCUUUGCAAGGAAUUUGGCUUGGAAACAGUCUGA
rnacentral:lncRNA from 1 species